AUGACUAGGCCUAAAGGUGAGGGUGGUAUGGGAUUCCGGGACCUCAGAUUAUUUAACCAGGCUCUAUUAGCUAAACAGGCCUGGAGGUUAGUGGUUAAUCCUGAUUCUCUUUGUGCCAAAGUGAUUAAGGCAAAAUAUUAUCCCCAUGGACAUAUCCUUGAUACGGUUUUCCCGCAGUCAGCAUCUCUUACUUGGCAAGGUAUUCUACAUGUUUGGAUCUGCUUAAAUCCGGAGUCAUUUGGAGAGUGUGUGAUGGGGCUAAUAUUAAUAUCUGGAGAGAUAACUGGCUCCCAAGAUCUUCUGGACUAA
rnacentral:rRNA from 1 species